rnacentral:rRNA from 1 species
UACGUAGGGGGCGAGCGUUGUCCGGAAUGACUGGGCGUAAAGGGAGUGUAGGCGGCUUAAGCAAGUUAUAUGUGAAAGCCCGUGGCUUAACCAUGGAAUUGCAUAUAAAACUGCUUAGCUAGAGUGUGGGAGAGGUAAGUGGAAUUCCUAGUGUAGCGGUGGAAUGCGUAGAGAUUAGGAGGAACACCGGUGGCGAAAGCGGCUUACUGGACCAUAACUGACGCUGAGGCUCGAAAGCGUGGGGAGCAAACAGG